rnacentral:rRNA from 1 species
AUUGAACGCUGGCGGCAGGCUUAACACAUGCAAGUCGAACGAGUGGCGGACGGGUGAGUAAUGCUUGGGAAACUGGCUUAUGGAGGGGGAUAACUACGGGAAACGGUAGCUAAUACCGCAUACCAUAGGAUGAGCCCAGCUGGGAUUAGGUAGUUGGUGAGGUAACGGCUCACCAAGCCGACGAUCCCUAGCUGGGCUGAGAGGAUGACCAGCCACACUGGAACUGAGACACGGUCCAGACUCCUACGGGAGGCAGCAGUGGGGAAUAUUGCGCAAUGGGGGCAAGCUGAUGCAGCCAUGCCGCGUGAAUGAAGAAGGCCUUCGGGUUGUAAAGUUCUGUCGGUAGCGAGGCGUUACCUACAGAAGAAGCACCGGCUAACUCCGUGCCAGCAGCCGCGGUAAUAC